rnacentral:rRNA from 1 species
UACAGAGGGGGCAAGCGUUGUUCGGAAUUACUGGGCGUAAAGGGCGCGUAGGCGGCCUUCUAAGUCGAACGUGAAAUCCCUGGGCUCAACCCAGGAACUGCGUCCGAUACUGGAAGGCUUGAAUCCGGGAGAGGGAUGCGGAAUCCCAGGUGUAGCGGUGAAAUGCGUAGAUAUCUGGAGGAACACCGGUGGCGAAGGCGGCAUCCUGGACCGGUAUUGACGCUGAGGCGCGAAAGCCAGGGGAGCAAACGGG